CCAGUUGGUAGACUCAUGACUCGUGGCACUGUUGGGCUGUGUGCAUAGAAAUAUAGCCAGCUCAAAGAGAGGCUGCCAAGAAAACAGGACUAUGGCAGAACACAGAUGCUAAGAGAGAGAAACAGGACCAAGUAGCUCCUGAAACUUGGCUUGGAACCAGGACCCACAAUAUCUCCAAGGAUGCCGGUAUAUCCCACUUCAUUUCAAUGACCCACUUACUGAGUUACAUUCCAUACUACAUUAUCAAUGCCUCCAAGUCAGAGACUAUGUCUUACUUUUGUUUGUAUGUCUAGUUGCUAGAAUAGUUCUGAGUGCACAGUAGGUGAUGAGGUUUAUUUUGAUGUUGAACAAAUAUGUACAACCUGCAAAGAUAUUUUUACUCAGUGCUUUAUCCAUUCAGAUUUUGCCCUCAUGAAUCAAAACUGUAGUUAUAAAUAUAAAUAAAUGUAUAAAUGCAUAUAUAUGUGUGUGCAUACAAUCAGUUGGCCCUCCAUAUCUGUGGAUUCCACAUCCUCUGAUUCAACAAACUGGAUAAAAAGUAUUUUUAAAAAUCAAUAAAAAAUACAAGCUAAUAAAAAAUACAGUAUAACAUCUAUUUACAUAGCAUUUGCAUUGUAUUAGGUAUUCUAAUUAAUCCAGAGAUGAUUUAAAUUAUGGGGGAAAAUUUAUGUAGAUUAUGUUCAAAUACUAUGCCAUUUUAUAUACACACACACAUAUACACACACACAUAUACACACACAUACACAUACAUACAGAUACACAUACAUAUAUAUUUAUAACUACCUAUAUAUUUAUUUAUGUUUAUGACUACAGUACAUCAUAUUUACAUAAAAAACUCUGGGCAGAAUAAUAACUAUGGAAACAGAAAUGGUAAGUAUAAUAAAUAGGCCAAAACACAACAAAAGGCCCCAGGAAUACAGAAGGAAUCAUCAAUCACCACGUUUCACAAAGACGAGCAAAUAUAAAGAGUCUCAAAGUACUACUUAGACUAGGUAACUUGCAACUUAAAAUUCCACCACUGAAGAUUGCUGCUUCCAGAUAGAACAUGACUACUCCCAGGAAUUAUUUGUAAAAUGUAAAUACUCUUAGGAAACAGGCUCCAUUAAGUCUCCAGAUAUCUUAACGCUAAUUAGUUAUGGAAUCUCCUUCUGCUGUAAUGGAGAAUCCUGGGAGUCGGGGUUGAGUCUAGAGAAGACAACAGAAGCAGGCUUCGCCUCCUUCAUCAUUGUAUCCAGAACUGUUUACAUCAGGGCCCUGUGCUUGCUAGAUGUUGGUAUCCUGGGCUUGGUGGGUCACACCUAUAAUCUCAGCACUUUGGGAGGCUGAGUCAGGAAGAUCAGUUGAGGCCAGGAGUUUGAGACCAGCCUGGGCAACAUAGUGAGACCCUGUCUCUACAAAAUUUUUUUAAAAAGCAAAAAGUAAAAAUAAAAAUUGAGAACCAACAAAAGAUUGUUACUUUGUUUCAGCUUUAUUGAGGCCUAACAGAAGUACACUAAAUUGCAUCUACUUAACAUGCACCAUGCGAUGGGUUUAUUUUUAAUUUAAUUUUAAGUCCCAGGAUACAUGUACAGGAAAUGCAGGUUUGUCACAAAGGUAGACGUGUGCCAUGGUUGUUUGCUGCAUCUAUCUACUCAUCACCUAGGUAUUAAGCCCUACAUACGUUAGCUAUUUAUCCUGAUGCUCUUCCUCACCGCAACCCCCAACAGGCCCCAGUGUGUGUUGUUACCCUCCCUGUGUCCAUGAAAUAUGCAUACACCUGUGAAAGCAUCACCACAAUCAAGACAUUUUUACCCCCCCAAAAAUUUCCUUGUGCCCCUUUAUAAUCCAUCCUUCCCUCCGCCUUAGCCUGUGCAACUAUUGAUCUGAUUUUUGUCACUCUAGAUGAAUUUGCACUUUCUCAAAUUUUAUGUAAAUGGAAUCACAGAGUAUGUGCUCUUUUUGGCAAAGCUUCUUUCACCCAUCAUAAGAAUUUUGAGAUGUAUCCAUGUUGUUGUGUGUGGCAACAAACUUUUUACUUCACUAAAGUGAUGAUAUCUUUUAAACCAUUCUUUCUACUAUCAUAAUCAUUUUGUAAAAGAGAAGGCCUUUUAACCAUCAAAAAAGAGAGGAUGUGUCCUCCAAGUAAGAACAGUUGUUCUCCAGAAUGAGAAAUUGGCAAUGUCAUGCUGACAAAGAGGGGGAGUCCCUAGGUAAAAUAGUAUAAACCUCAUCACCCAAGGCCAGUCCUUCUCCUGGCCAUGAGAGGGGAAGCGCUGCCCCUCACAAAGCCUUAUAUGCCUCAUUCAGGGAGGGAGAAAAGCAGUCCCUCUUGAGACCUGUUUCCAUGGUAACCAGUGAGCAAUUGACAAUGUGGCUGCAGUUGGGCCUCCUUGAAGGGGAAAAAUCUUCAACAGGAACCAGGCCACUGAGAGAUGGAAGAAAGGACAGCUCAUACCCAAACCUCACGAGGAGGCUACAGGAAUCACUGGACAGUUCCUUUAUUGGGAAAGCCCCCAGUGACUUUCCAAUGAAAUGGAUAGAGAAGGGAAAAGAGACCCUUCGGAAUCAGAUGAGUCCAUGAACUGGCAGCAGUCAGGGCAGUGAUGACAUCACAGAAGGAGGAUGGGCCUUAGACAGACAUCACUCUUUAGAAUCCCUGCAACUUUGAGCAAGUUCGUGAAUCUCACUAAGGCUCAGUUUCCUCCAUAAAAUUAAUCAAUAUCAGGGCCUCUGCAUUGGACAACUCCAGAGGGCACCAUUGGGGUUAUACCUUGUGUUUGCCUAACCUUCAUUGCAGUGGGCAGGUGCAUGCUUUCUACAAUGUCCUAAGGUCUAAAGGGGUAGAGUUCUGUGUGUGGCAUUUUAGGCCUGGAAAGGAUGAGAGUCUACAAAACCAGAGAAAUACUGCAGGUGAGUGAGGGGCUAAGAUCCAGAUGCCCCCUGCCACAUUGAUCCUCUCCAAGACAGGAGGCCCCAGAUCCCCAGAUCUGAAGCCCUUUUUAAGAGCAAGAGUAUCAGCUGAUGAAUUUCAUGCAUUGCACACCGUGACUCCCAAGAUGGUCUGUCAGAUCUCCAGGUUCUGGAGGUUGGAGGUUCCGCUCAGUGACAGCCUGGCGGUACAGCAUACCCAGGUUCAAAUCCCAGAUCUACCACUUAAUAACUAGGUAAUCUUGGAUGGAUUACUUAACCUUCUUAAGCCUCAUUUACCUCGUGAUAAUUUAUUUUAUAGAGUUGCUGAAAGAAUCAAUGUGAAAAUGUACAUAAAGUGUUUAGCAAAUACAGUAGUGCUCAAUAAAUGUCAGCUUUGUUGUAACUCUUCAGAUUUUCCCUGGGCAAAGUAAAAGCUUUCUUGGAGCCUUUCUCUUAAUCAGUCCUGCCUCAAACAUCCCUUCUGCUGAAACAAGCUGUGAUUAAUCCACUGUAGACCCGACACUCCACUAAAUGGGGCACAGUGCAGAGGUCCGUAAUGAGGAUCUUUUUAAAAGUAAAGCAUAUACAUCAGUCUCAACACUUAUAAACAUCAGAAUUACUUGGAAAGGAGGUUUACAAAAAUGCAAAUGACAUUUUGGAAAGCCUAAUUCAGUAGGUUAGUUUAGAGCUGUGAUAUUGUGAUUUAUAAUAAAUAUAUAUUUGCUCUUGGUCUCUAUUCCUGGCACAGAGCUCCUAAAGUCCUUGGAAUGUCCUAAGUGGUGAGUUUAUGCUAAAGAGGUAACUUUUGGAAAACCUCUAAGGAUGGGGGGCUGGUUGCCAGGGGAGCCAACCAUGUGAUUAGAAGGUUGGAACUUUCACCACCCACCACCCUGACCUCCAGGGAAGGGAAAGUGGCUGGAAGUUGACUUAAUUUGCAAUGGGCAAUGAUUUCAUCAAUCACGUCUAUGUAAUGAAGCCUCCACAAGAAAAAAAUCUUAACAGAAGACCUUCAGAGAGCUUCCAGGUUGCUGACCACAUGGAGGUCAUGCCCAGAGAGGGUGUGAAAGCUCCACACCCCUUUUCCAUACCUUGCCCUACUUAUCUCUUCCAUCUGGCUGUUUCUAAGUUGCAUCCUUUAUAUUAAAGCAAUAAUGUUGUAAAUGAACUUUCUCUGAGUUCUGUGACCCAUUCUAGCAAAUGGUCAAACCCAGGAGGGAAUGGUAUGAACCUCUGGUUUACAGCCAUUGGUAAGAAGCACACAUGACAACCUGGACUUUCCAUCAACAUUUGAAGCGGGAGCAGUCUUGUGGGAUCAAGCUCUUAACCUGUGGGGUCUGCUACUAACUCUGGUAAGUGUCAGAAUUGAAUUGAAUCAUAGAAAACCCAGUUGGUGUCCAUAGCAAAUUGGUGUGGACCCUACACGUUUGAUCACAGAGGUAUUCUGUGUUGAGUGUGCAUAUAGACAGAAGAAAAGUUUGUUCUUCCCUAUUCAAAGGCAGAGUUAUUUAUCUGUGUUGUUUUGUUUUUAAAGAUUCCCUGGGUGAUCCUAGUGUGUAGCCAAGAUUGAAUAUUAUUGACCUAGAGCAGAGUUGGCAAACUUUUCAUUUAAAGGGCCAGUUAGUAAAUAUUUUAGGCUUUGCAGACCACCUACAUAUUUUGCCACAUAUUCUUUGUUUGUUUAAAAAUGUAAAAAUAAUUCUUAGAUUGCAGGCUGUACAAAAAUAGGCCAUACCCAGAUUUGGCCCACAGGUCACAUUGCUUAUUGAUUCCUGGUCUAGAGACCAUAGCCCUGGAGGUUCCAUGAUCUAAUAUAUUUUUUGGUUUCAUCUAGAAUCCAAUGAACACAUGGACCCAACACUCCUUUGGCCAAGUUGAUGAUUCUCCACCAUUUAUUUGCCUGCCUCACUAUACACUUCUAGCAAGCCACUGCAAGGCUGCAUUGCAGCUAAGAGGAAGCCCUCCUUGAAGGCUGCACAGCAAGGAGUGUUGGCAGAGUAGCUGGGUUUCCACUGGGAGAGCACGAGUCAGCAUCAUGCUGGGCUCAAGCAUGGAUAUGCACUGCUGCUGCCAGAGCAUCAUAAUUUGCAAGCAUUUAUCGAGUACCCUUCAUCUAAUUUUCAUCCUGCGGAAACUAGAAAUUGCUACACUUGCACACAAUAAACUUCUGGCAGUUAGCCUUCUAAACUGGGACACUACCAUUUGGGAGGGAAAAGACCUUUCUGGUGGUUAAAGAUGGGGCUUCCAGUUACUGCAUUUGUUUUAAUACAGUCUAUUCCAUAGAGCCAUCGAUGGAGACUCAUUAUAUAACCUUUCGUGGAAAGCUUCUGACUUCUUUCUCAAUGCACAGGUGGGAUGUAAAGGGACAUCCCCAUCAUAAGGCACUUGCCCCAGGCUAGGAACUUAAUUCUCCCACUGUCGACAUGUGGCUCUUUAGAUUUCAUGCUGUAAGUCUCCAGAGGUUUCUCAGGUCUUGCCCUGCAGAAGCAGAAGUCAUGGGAAGGAGCUGUCGCGUAGUUCUUUUUUUUUGGAGCUUGGGUGCUGAAGAUCAGUUCCUCCAACUUUUUGGUUUUUUAAUGUUUCACUCCAACUGCAAAUUUCACCCCAUUUCUAGUGUACUCUCCUUGAGAGAAGUGGAGUUUCAGAUGGGAGCAACUUCACUUGAAGCCCAUAUUAAAUAUGGGAAACACAUUUUCUGCAUCAUAAGAUGGGGACAUUUUUAUGAUACCAGUACUCUUAGGAAGUGGACUGUUCAGAAAAAUGAUUUGGAUUGAAGAGGGCACACAUAUAGGUGGAAGAGUUGGUUGUGAAACAAGGGGAAGAAUUAACUGGUUUCUCCACUGAAGGAGGGAGGAAAAAAAUAAAAGGAAAGAAUAUGGGUAUAUCCAGCAAGACAGACAAAUGUAUGCUCUCCAAGCACUCUCUCUCUCACCUAUCCCAGUUCUUUCAUGUUACAAAAUUCACAAAAUGGCUGUGUGUACAUGAAUUUUGGUGGAAACAGUGAAGAAACUGAGCUUCAUGCUGACAUUGACACAGAGUAGGACAGCUCUAAGGUAGCCUAUGUGAAUGAGCAAUGGAGAAAGAGGGAAAAACAUAAGGAGUUAACCCCAAAAAAUUGGCCAUGGGUGGUGGCUCAUGCCUGUAAUCCCAGCACUUUGGGAGGCCAAGGAGGGUGAAUCACUUGAGGUCAGGACUUCAAAACCAGCCUGGCUAACAUGGUAAAACUCCUGUCUCUACUAAAAUACAAAGAUUAGCUGGGCAUGGUGAUGGGUGCCUGUAAUCCCAGCUACUAGGGAGGCUGGGGAAGGAGAAUUGCUUGAACCCAAGAAGCGGAAGUUGCAGUGAGCCAAGAUCGCGCCACUGCACUCCAGCUUGGAUGACAGAGUGAGACUCCAUCUCAAACAAACAAACAAACAAACAAAAAACCUCCCCCAAAUUAUGGAGAGGGCUCCAGACUUUCUCAAGAUUGUGCAGUUAGCUGUUGUUUAAAGUUAACUAAAUCCCGAUCUGAUGUUUAUUCUCUUAUUUUUAGCUAUUGUUUAAAGUUAACUAAAUCCCGAUCUGAUGUUUAUUCUCUUAUUUUUAUUUUUAAUUUAAUAAGUGCUUCACGUGACUUUUGAGUUAUAGCUGACUGCCCUAGCUCACAUUUUAGUGCCAGAGUAAGUAUCAAAUGGUAGAUUUAUUUCUCUUUUUUAUAAAAGAAAAUCAAUAACCAGUUUGCAAUGCCUUUGGUAGAAAUUCAAUGACUAACAUAAGGUUUUACUUUAUCAAGAAGCUGGGAUAUUGUCAACAGCUAUCCAAGUAACUGAUUCAAAAUCCAAUUGUGAAAACAUUUACUGGGCACUCUCUGCAUGCAAAGCAGUGAGAAGGUGCUGGGAAGAUUAAGAAAAAUCAGGUGCAGUCUCCCUCCUUAGGAGAAAUGGCACAAAAUAGCAUGGUCAUGGAACCAGAGCAGUGAUUCUGACAUGCAUUUCAGAGACAAACAUGGUGGAGGCCAUGUGACUUAAUCAGCAGGAUGGAACUAAAAUAGGGCUGCCUAGGAUUAUACAAACUAUGCUGUUGCUGCUGGAGAUUCCCAAACUGUGGCCUACCAAUGUCAUGGCAGGUGGGGGAUAAGUGGACGAUGAAUCCCUUCAGUGCACCAUUCAAGGGCUUUCAGCCUGAAAUAAGCUAAUACUAUGAGCAGAAUGCCCAGGAAGGGUUUAUGAAGGGUAUACCAUACUCCCAAGAUCAAAAUCACCUCUUGAGGAAUCCCUCCCAAAGGACUCACAGUCAUCUUCCAAAAGGCUUUUAGAAAAAACUAAAGGAUAUGUUUUUCCAAGAGCCUGAUGUCUUAGUGGUCUGGAAGACAUCCUGGGAAUUGUCUGGAAAGGAGGCAUUGGACCUCUAGCUGUGAUGAGAUAUAGGAAUAAGGAGUGGUGGGCUAAGUGUGCAUCUAGUAUGCAAAAUAGAGAGAACAGUAAGUGUGAUGAGAAUAAGAAGGUAGUUGCCCAAAAGCAAAUUUAAUUCUCUCCUACUCCUACUGGAGAGAAGAACAAGGGAUUUGGAGGAAACACAGCAAUGCAGCAUCCACAGGCACAUAGUAUAUGCUCAAUAAAUAUUUUUUUUCAAAUAAUAUACAAAUAUAGAAAUAAGGUCUACAAACAUCACUUGAGAAGCACAGGAUGUGAUUCACUCUUCAGAGCCAAAUUUUAUUUGUGGUAUCACUUUAAAAGGCAGCAGCAGUAGUGCUACUGAGACCAUUUCCGCUGGGAGAGAAGUUCUGAGGACUCUGAAAACUUAUAGGAAGAGGCAGGCAAGACCAGAGAUAGUGAUAAGUAAAGUGAUUAACUGAGGAGCUGUGUGGGGGGAAAAGGAUGUCUCAACUUAGCCAAGGUUCAGAGAUAACAGAAGCUUUUCACCAAAUGAAAGGUGACUGAGUGACCAACUGUCACUGACUUCAGGAAUAACUUGCAGACAGAACAGGUAGACUCAGACAGCAUUCUCAGGUGAAGACCUCAAGGGAAUUCAGCUAGUUGAGGCAGCCCCAAAACCUGGUGGGAAUCCAGCUCAUUUCUGGGAAACCUGAACAAGAACGGAUUCAUAGAUCUCAAAAUUGUACAAAGAGAAAUUUACCAAUAAACACAGGAAAAAAUAAAAUUUCCUGGAAAUAUCAGCUACCAACAAAUAUAUUUUCAGGUGUGCUUCAGGAUUAAGGUUUAUAAAAGUGUGUUAAGAAAUGAAAAUAUUGUUUGUGUGGGUGGUGGUUGUGUUCCUGGGGCAAAAAAAAGAGAGAGAGAGAGAGAAUUGCAACUCCAACUCUUCUUUUUAUAUAUGAGAAAACUGAAACUUGGAAUGAUAAAGUGACUCACUCAAAGUCUCCACACCUACUUGGUAGCAAGUCUUUAUUCAUAGCUGCAUAUAAUAUAUCACCACCUGACAUAUUAUAUAUUCUUCUAUUUGAAUAUUCUUUCCAUUAAAAUGGGACUUUAUUUGCUCACAAUAAUAUUCCCAGAAGCUAGAACAGUGCCCGGCACUAAGGAAAUACUCAGUAAACAUGUGCUGAAUGAGACAAUGAUUUAAAUCUUUAGACUCAUAUUCCAAUGCCAUUUAGAUUACACCAUCCUGUGAGUUUGUGUCCUUUGCAGGGACAUGGAUGAAGCUGGAAACCAUCAUUCUCAGCAAACUAACACAAGAACAGGAAACCAAACACCACAUAUUCUCACUCAUAAGUGGGAGUUGAACAAUGAGGACACAUGGACACAAGGAAGGGAAUAUCACAACACGGGGCCUGUCAGGGGGUUGGGGGCUAGGAGAAGGACAGCAUUAGGAGAAAUACCUAAUGUAGAUAACGGGUUGAUGG
rnacentral:lncRNA from 10 species